CCUACGGGAGGCAGCAGUGGGGAAUAUUGGGCAAUGGGCGCAAGCCUGACCCAGCAACGCCGCGGGAAGGAAGAAGGCGUGCGGGUUGUAAACUACUGGUAAGAGGGAAGAGCAGAAGAAGGGACGUAUGGAAUAAGCCACGGCUAACUACGAGCCAGCAGCCGCGGUAAUACGGAGGUGGCAAGCGUUGUACGGAUUUACUGGGUGGAAAGGGCGUGAAGCCGGGAAGAACCGUCAGAUGUGAAAUCCCGCGGCUCAACCGCGGAACUGCCUUUGAAACUGUUUUUCUUGAGUACCGGAGAGGUCAUCGGCCUUCCUUUUGUAGCGGUGCAAUGCGUAGAUCUCUGGACGAACCCCAGUGGCGACGGCGGCUGACUGGACGGCAACUGCCGGUGCGGCGCGCAAGCGUGGGGAGCACACCGGAUUAGCUACCCUUGUCGUC
rnacentral:rRNA from 1 species